UUUCUGUGUGCCUUCCACGCAUGUUGUGGUGCUGGGCUGACCCACAGAAGUGGGAGCAAUGACAGGUUUUCAAUCUUUAUAAUGUAGUGUAAGUGAAGUUCCAUGGCUGUUGAUAUGCUGGGCACUGGAGUGAAGAGCAAAGAUGCUGCCCUGUCUCCCUUGAAAUAUGAGUAUGAACACACCAUAGAAUCUUUGAAGACUGAAAUCAGCAAGUUUUGGGAAGAGCAGGGUCGACUUCAGACACAAGUCAGGGAGGUCACCACAGAAAACGAGGCAUUGAAUGCUCAGCUCAGGGAUGUCAGCAGCAAAGUCACGCUUGCACCGUUGCCACAGAAUGUCGGACAUCAGCAGCA
rnacentral:lncRNA from 1 species